CCAAUGUGGAUACCCUGGGAGAUGCAGGUGGCACAGGGGAGCACAGGGCUUCACACUGUGAUGUACUGUCCCUUCCCACAAUGUUGGAGAUGAAGUUGGGCCUUGAGUCUGCAUCUGCGUAUUCCUACAAAGAUGGGGAGACAGAUGAUGCAGCAAACAGCU
rnacentral:snoRNA from 1 species